GAUGAACGCUGGCGGCGUGCCUAAUACAUGCAAGUCGAGCGAACAGACGAGGAGCUUGCUCCUCUGACGUUAGCGGCGGACGGGUGAGUAACACGUGGAUAACCUACCUAUAAGACUGGGAUAACUUCGGGAAACCGGAGCUAAUACCGGAUAAUAUAUUGAACCGCAUGGUUCAAUAGUGAAAGACGGUUUUGCUGUCACUUAUAGAUGGAUCCGCGCCGCAUUAGCUAGUUGGUAAGGUAACGGCUUACCAAGGCAACGAUGCGUAGCCGACCUGAGAGGGUGAUCGGCCACACGGGAGCUGAGACACGGUCCAGACUCCUACGGGAGGCGGCAGUAGGGAAUCUUCCGCAAUGGGCGAAAGCCUGACGGAGCAACGCCGCGUGAGUGAUGGAGGUCUUCGGAUCGUAAAACUCUGUUAUUGGGGAAGAACAAAUGUGUAAGUAACUAUGCACGUCUUGACGGUACCUAGUCAGAAAGCCACGGCUAACUACGUG
rnacentral:rRNA from 1 species